AGCGAACGCUGGCGGCAUGCUUAACACAUGCAAGUCGCACGAACCUUUCGGGGUUAGUGGCGGACGGGUGAGUAACGCGUAGGAAUCUGUCCACGGGUGGGGGAUAACUCUGGGAAACUGGAGCUAAUACCGCAUGAUACCUGAGGGUCAAAGGCGCAAGUCGCCUGUGGAGGAGCCUGCGUUCGAUUAGCUAGUUGGUGGGGUAAAGGCCUACCAAGGCGAUGAUCGAUAGCUGGUUUGAGAGGAUGAUCAGCCACACUGGGACUGAGGCACGGCCCAGACUCCUACGGGAGGCAGCAGUGGGGAAUAUUGGACAAUGGGGGCAACCCUGAUCCAGCAAUGCCGCGUGUGUGAAGAAGGUCUUCGGAUUGUAAAGCACUUUCGACGGGGACGAUGAUGACGGUACCCGUAGAAGAAGCCCCGGCUAACUUCGUGCCAGCAGCCGCCGUAAGAC
rnacentral:rRNA from 1 species